CUGAGGAAGGAGAGCGGGGAGAGGGUGACCUUUUGUCCUGUGGCAGCCAAAGGACAGAGUCCUGAGGAGUGGCUGUCCUCCCUGAAAUAAGUCCAGCAUGUCUCAGACUUCAGGCUGCAGCUUCUAAUCUCAUCAGAACAGCUCCAUUGUCUUCACGGCAGGAGCCGAUGGCCCUGCAGGGAGCGGGCCUCCCUCUCAGGGACAUCAAAGGAGCUGACACCUGAUUGGAUGAGACAAAAACAGGAGAAGACGUGGAGGUGAGCUGCAGAGUUCCUUCAGUUGUGAUCAGACUGCUUCUGAGGGAGAGAGAGAGGCUGCAUCACAUCUUGGUAUUUGGCUCCAUGUCUGAGAUGGAAGACCCGGUGAAGAGGAAUAGGACUCUGCGGGCCUGGAGAAGGGAGGAGGUCCAUAAAUGGAGGGCUGACAGGAAGUCCUACAUC